AACGAACGCUGGCGGCAGGCUUAACACAUGCAAGUCGAGCGAGACUUCGGUCUUAGCGGCGGACGGGUGAGUAACGCGUGGGAACGUGCCCUUCUCUACGGAACAGUCCUGGGAAACUGGGUUUAAUACCGUAUACGCCCUUUUGGGGAAAGAUUUAUCGGAGAAGGAUCGGCCCGCGUUGGAUUAGGUAGUUGGUGGGGUAAUGGCCUACCAAGCCUACGAUCCAUAGCUGGUUUGAGAGGAUGAUCAGCCACACUGGGACUGAGACACGGCCCAGACUCCUACGGGAGGCAGCAGUGGGGAAUAUUGGACAAUGGGCGAAAGCCUGAUCCAGCAACGCCGCGUGAGGGAUGACGGCCUUCGGGUUGUAAAGCUCUUUCAGCUGGGAAGAUAAUGACGGUACCAGCAGAAGAAGCCCCGGCUAACUCCGUGCCAGCCGCCGCGGUAAAAC
rnacentral:rRNA from 1 species